CUACAAUCGAACAAGCAACAAAAUCCAACAAAAUUAACUCAACAUAUCUAACUUACUCAGAACAAUUGAGAUCAAUUCGAUCAACCCAUUAAUCACUGUUAACAACAGUAAAAAAAAUAAUAAAAAAAAUUGUAGCCAAAAGGAGAUGGAGAAAAUAUGGGGUUCCUAUUACAGCCAAUGGUCUAUGCAUCUUGGACCAAAAACAAACAUAAGCAGAAAAAAAUAAAAAAAAAUAAAAAAGAUAGCAUUGAAGAGAUUGAAGUGAGAAGAUUUGCAUCAAUGGUAUUUGGAUCAAACCCACCCUAUUACAGCCAAUGGUCUUUGCAUCAAACCCACCUUUUCCUUCCAUUUUUCUUGUUCCUAUUUCCAAGAGAGAGAUUGAAGUGAGCAGAUAUCUUGAAAUAUGAGAUAGCAUCAGAGAAGAAGAUGACUAGAAGAAUAGAAGAAGAAAGGGGGCUCUAGAAGAAAAAAAAAAUAAAAAAUAAGACACAAAGACAGAAAUAGAGGAAGAGAGAAGAGAGAGC
rnacentral:lncRNA from 1 species